GUGAGGAAUAUUGGGCAAUGGGCGCAAGCCUGACCCAGCAACGCCGCGUGGAGGAAGAAGGCCUUCGGGUUGUAAACUUCUUUUCUGUGGGAAAAGACAAGGAUGGUACCACAGGAAUAAGUCACGGCUAACUACGUGCCAGCAGCCGCGGUAAUACGUAGGUGACGAGCGUUAUCCGGAAUUAUUGGGCGUAAAGCGCACGCAAGCGGCUCAGCAAGUCUGACGUGAAAUCUCUUGGCUUAACUGGGAGGGGUCGUUGGAAACUACUAAGCUUGAGGCGAUGAGAGGGGUGCAGAAUUCCCGGUGUAGUGGUGGAAUGCGUAGAGAUCGGGAGGAAUACCUGUGGCGAAAGCGGCACCCUGGCGUCGUACUGACGCACAUGUGCGAAAGCGUGGGGAGCGAACGGGAUUAGAAACCCUAGUAGUCC
rnacentral:rRNA from 1 species